ACAUCUCUUCUGCUGCUUAAAUGGCUUGGAGCACCUGGUUCUGAAAAUAUGUGAUCCAUCUGGGCAGAACCAGGAAUUUGGAGGUCAACUUGUAUUAUGAGACAGAGUAGGAAGGAAAUUGACUUCAACUUCUACAAUAUGAACAUAAAUUCUGAUGUCAUCAUGAGGGUCUCAAAGACUGCUCCUCCCAUAAUAGCCUCGGAACACUGGAGAGUGUUUAAGAUGUGGUACUUCAUGAGAGCUGGAGGACAAAAUAAAAAGAGCAAGCUUUCAGACCAAAGGAAAUAACAUUUGACCCUUCAAAGAUGUGUUUUAUUGUGGAACUAAGUAUUCCUAUGAAAUAUAAUACAGAGAAUGCUAGGCGACUUCUCAGAGAGGAAACAUCAUACUACCUUCAGAAGCCACUUUGUCUCCCAUGAUUCUUUCUAGAACACCU